CAGUCGAGCGAGCGGAACCACAGAUUUACUUCGGUAAUGACGUUGGGAAAGCGAGCGGCGGAUGGGUGAGUAACACGUGGGGAACCUGCCCCUAAGUCUGGGAUACCAUUUGGAAACAGGUGCUAAUACCGGAUAAUAAAGCGGAUCGCAUGAUCAGCUUUUGAAAGGCGGCGUAAGCUGUCGCUAAGGGAUGGCCCCGCGGUGCAUUAGCUAGUUGGUAAGGUAACGGCUUACCAAGGCGACGAUGCAUAGCCGAGUUGAGAGACUGAUCGGCCACAUUGGGACUGAGACACGGCCCAAACUCCUACGGGAGGCAGCAGUAGGGAAUCUUCCACAAUGGACGCAAGUCUGAUGGAGCAACGCCGCGUGAGUGAAGAAGGUUUUCGGAUCGUAAAGCUCUGUUGUUGGUGAAGAAGGAUAGAGGUAGUAACUGGCCUUUAUUUGACGGUAAUCAACCAGAAAGUCACGGCUAACUACGUGCCAGCAGCCGCGGUAAUACGUAGGUGGCAAGCGUUGUCCGGAUUUAUUGGGCGUAAAGCGAGCGCAGGCGGAAAAAUAAGUCUAAUGUGAAAGCCCUCGGCUUAACCGAGGAACUGCAUCGGAAACUGUUUUUCUUGAGUGCAGAAGAGGAGAGUGGAACUCCAUGUGUAGCGGUGGAAUGCGUAGAUAUAUGGAAGAACACCAGUGGCGAAGGCGGCUCUCUGGUCUGCAACUGACGCUGAGGCUCGAAAGCAUGGGUAGCGAACAGGAUUAGAUACCCUGGUAGUCCAUGCCGUAAACGAUGAGUGCUAAGUGUUGGGAGGUUUCCGCCUCUCAGUGCUGCAGCUAACGCAUUAAGCACUCCGCCUGGGGAGUACGACCGCAAGGUUGAAACU
rnacentral:rRNA from 1 species